CACAGUUUGUAAGCAAUAUACGGGGUUUAAACCUUAGUUUUCCCUUUGAUUUUGGUUUUAGAGGUAUUUUGCCCCAGGAUUUCCUCUCCCCGGACUUACAGGCUCGCUUGGCGGCUCCUCGGUCUGUGUCUAGAAGAGGAUGUGAGCCCGACAGUGGUGGGAGCGCAACCCCGCAGCGGACACGCCGCUCCGGAGACGGCGCGGUCGGGCACGAACUCACUCCUGGGGACCCCAGCCUGCCCGGGGCCGGGAGGAGCCCAGGCCCAGCGCGACCCCCGGGGCCACCGCGCCCUCCGGCCCGUCCAACCGGUACACCAGCACCCGCCCGCCCAGGCCGCGUGGACACAGACACCGUCCCGCCUGUCAAUGGUCCGCCCGUAGCCCUCAGACGGGCGCACGGAGGGGCGGAGCUGGGCGGUGCCUGGGCGGGAGGCGCGGCCCCUGGGCCUCCAGGCGCACAGAGGGCGGCGGACUCGGACUGGUUCACAGCCUGUGGCGUCCGGCUGGGCUGGGGAGACGACGCUCCUGGAGUCCGCCUCUCUAUUCCUGGCACAGCUUUGGUCUGUUACCGCCUAGUCACCGAGGUCCCUCCCAUGCUACCCCCGCGGGAGAUGCGGGUCAGGGAGGUGAGCCGCGCUGAGGCUACCGUUGGCGGCGCUAGGCAGGGCUUUGUUGGCGCGCCGGGAGCGGGGACGCAGGGUCGCGUGUCCGCAGAAGGGAGCUCUCUGCGGAUUUCCUCCCGAGCGUGAGGUCGACCCCCGCCUGGCUGCCUCGCCGACCGGGUCGUCCCUGUCCCUCCGAACGCACGGAGCUCGGUGCUGCUGAACAGCGCGGUUCACCUGAUCUUUGCGCACGCGCGCGGGGAGCGGCGACAGCCGUCACCCCCACUUCCGUUUGUAAGGAAGAGGGAGGCUCAGUAACCGCUGGGUGUGCUGCGGGCGUGGUGCGCCCUCCUGUCCCCAGAUAGUACAUUUAAAUUGAGAAACUGUGGCGGGAACGGUGACCGGGACAAUCCCUGAGCCUAGCCAGCGGGUGUGGAGAGCGGCGGUGGGCGGGUGCUGGGACAGUCCGUCCGCCUGGCCUCCCGGCUUCUGGCUGCGUUCAUGGACGUGGACAAAAUCUGGCAAUCAGUGCACGUGCCCAAAGAGCAGGGAAGGGGUGCCUACUUGCCCAGGAAGCCGAUGCCUCAGCGCCUGAGAGCCAGCUGGCUGCCCGGGUUCAGGUGACCGAUUCUGGGCUGCAUUUUCAGUGAGGAACGGCCUGUUCUCACUGCUGUUCACCUGCCUAAGGAAAUGCUUCCAACAGGAUGAUCGGAGGCGUCCCGCCUAAGGCACACGUGGCCAGGCCCUGCUCUGUGGCAGAAGUAGAAAAUCUACGUGACAGUUCAUGUGACUGUGUGUCCUUAAAAUUCACUAGUCUUGAUACAUUUUGAAAGUCCUUUUGAACUUUGCUUAUGUGUAUUUGUAGUGAAAACGAAAGGACUGAUGGUUGUAGAGUUUACUCGUUAAAAUUCUCAUGAUUCAGAUUCUUACAAAAGGUGAAUGACGGCCCUGCUGUGGACACCAGCUUAGCUGUGGGAUCAAAGUCAGUGUAAGGCUGGAGGCACUGGGGGAGGGGUGAGCCUGCCGCACAGGCUCAGGCCUCACCUAAUAAGGCGAGGAGACC